rnacentral:lncRNA from 1 species
CAGCCCCCACGCUUGCGCCGCUUGUCUUUCAAGCAGGGGACUUGAAGUUGGUUAAACAAGUAGGAGGCGGAAGAGAAAUUUGGUCAGGAACUGGAGCGAGGACUGUUGCACCUGGACACAGCUGACUCAGCGCGACCUGGCUGCCUGCCUUGUUCUCCUCAGGAAACAGCCUGUGCUGGCAGGUCUCUGAGAAAUAUUGAAUGCUGAAGCAAGGAACCAAGAUGGACGAUUAUAGAAAAUGUCUGUGCAUACAUGUGAAUGCAAAGAAGUGACUACUUACCUGCCCCCGGUGAUGCCCAAAAACUGAGAAGGAAAGGCAAAUGAAAAUGUGCACGUGUCUAUGUCUUUGGGUUCUGUUUUUCUCUAGAAAACAGGGGCUAUAA